rnacentral:lncRNA from 1 species
AUGUACGGAGAGCCCAGCGGGGUCGGGAGCACCUGCAGGGACCUGCUACCUGGGGGGGGCGGGGGGGCACGGAGUAAGAGCCCAGAGCUGGAGGAGCAGCGGGGUCGAGAGCACCUGCAGGCCCAGCUCCGGGGGGGGGGGGGGGGUCACGGAGGAAGAGCCCAGAGCUGGAGGAGCAGCGGGGUCGGGAGAACCUGCAGGCCCAGCUCCGGGGGGGGGGUCACGGAGGAAGAGCCCAGAGCUGGAGGAGCAGCGGGGUCGGGAGCACCUGCGGGCCCAGCUCCGGGGUGGGGGGUCACGGAGGAAGAGCCCAGAGCUGGAGGAGCAGCGGGGUCGGGAGACCUGCGGCCCAGCUCCGGGGGGGGGGUCACGGAGGAAGAGCCCAGAGCUGGAGGAGCAGCGGGGUCGGGAGACCUGCGGGCCCAGCUCCGGGGGGGGGGUCACGGAGGAAGAGCCCAGAGCUGGAGGAGCAGCGGGGUCGGGAGCACCUGCAGGUCCAGCUCCGGGGGGGGGGGGUCACGGAGGAAGAGCCCACGAGCUGGAGGAGCAGCGGGGUCGAGGAGCACCUGCGGGCCCAGCUCCGGGGGGGGGGGGGGUCACGGAGGAAGAGCCCAGAGCUGGAGGAGCAACGGGGUCGGGAGCACCUGCGGGCCCAGCUCCGGGGGGGGUGGGGGGGUCACGGAGGAAGAGCCCAGAGCUGGAGGAGCAGCGGGGUCAGGAGCACCUGCAGGCCCAGCUCGGGGGGGGUGGGGGGGUCACGGAGGAAGAGCCCAGAGCUGGAGGAGCAGCGGGGUCAGGAGCACCUGCGGGCCCAGCUCCGGGGGGGGUGGGGGGGUCACGGAGGAAGAGCCCAGAGCUGGAGGAGCAGCGGGGUCAGGAGCACCUGCAGGCCCAGCUCCGGGGGGGGGGGGGUCACGGAGGAAGAGCCCAGAGCUGGAGGAGCAGCGGGGUCAGGAGCACCUGCGGGCCCAGCUCCGGGGGGGGGGGGGGGGUCACGGAGGGAGAGCCCAGAGCUGGAGGAGCAGCGGGGUCAGGAGCACCUGCGGGCCCAGCUCCGGGGGGGGGGGGUCACGGAGGAAGAGCCCAGAGCUGGAGGAGCAGCGGGGUCAGGAGCACCUGCGGGCCCAGCUCCGGGGGGGGGGGUCACGGAGGAAGAGCCCAGAGCUGGAGGAGCAGCGGGGUCAGGAGCACCUGCGGGCCCAGCUCCGGGGGGGGGGGAGGGGGUCACGGAGGAAGAGCCCAGAGCUGGAGGAGCAGCGGGGUCGGGAGCACCUGCGGGCCAGCUCCGGGGCGGGGGGUCACGGAGGAAGAGCCCCGCGCUGGAGGAGCAGCGGGGUCAGGAGCAUCUGCCGGUCCGGCUCCUGGGGGAGGGGGGGGUGUUACGGAGGAAGAGCCCAGAGCUUCCGGCGGACCUCAGCGCCCCCUCGUCCCCCGGAAUCCAGUUCCGCCCGGACGCCAACGCCACGAGAAACGGUUCCGCUCGCAUCCCAGCGCCCUCUCUCGCAGCGCAAGCCCCUCCCGCGUCGCGUCUCUUGA